AUUGAACGCUGGCGGCAGGCUUAACACAUGCAAGUCGAACGAGCGGCGGACGGGUGAGUAAUGCUUGGGAAACUGGCUUAUGGAGGGGGAUAACUACUGGAAACUGUAGCUAAUACCGCGUACCAUAGGAUGAGCCCAAAUGGGAUUAGCUAGUAGGUGGGGUAAAGGCUCACCUAGGCGACGAUCUCUAGCUGGUCUGAGAGGAUGAUCAGCCACACUGGAACUGGGACACGGCCCAGACUCCUACGGGAGGCAGCAGUGGGGAAUAUUGCACAAUGGGCGCAAGCCUGAUGCAGCCAUGCCGCGUGUGUGAAGAAGGCCUUCGGGUUGUAAAGUACUUUCAGCGGGGAGGCGUUACCCGCAGAAGAAGCACCGGCUAACUCCGUGCCAGCAGCCGCGGUAAUUC
rnacentral:rRNA from 1 species